UUAAGUAAUGCACAAAUCUUGAAUUAAUUCAUGCAUGAAUUCAUAAUUCAUGUACCCUUACCGUAAAGUGUGACCAUAACUUUAGUUCAAGCCUGUGGCAGCAGUUCCAAAUAAUUUGUUUAGUGCUACGCAAUGAAAACUACCUUUUCACAAACGUUUUCACAAGUUCAGUGGGUGCAUUCUCCAAAAGAAUGAUUUAAUUCUGAAAA